UACGUAGGGUGCGAGCGUUGUCCGGAAUUACUGGGCGUAAAGAGCUCGUAGGUGGUUUGUCGCGUUGUUCGUGAAAACUCACAACUCAAUUGUGGGCGUGCGGGCGAUACGGGCAGACUGGAGUACUGCAGGGGAGACUGGAGUUCCUGGUGUAGCGGUGGAAUGCGCAGAUAUCAGGAGGAACACCGGUGGCGAAGGCGGGUCUCUGGGCAGUAACUGACGCUGAGGAGCGAAAGCGUGGGGAGCGAACAGG
rnacentral:rRNA from 1 species